UUCAAUCUUGUCUCUUUCAUGGCGUUACACCUUGACAAAUACGAUUUAACUGCAUGAUAAUAUCUUUUCAUAAAUGCUCCCACACUUGCAUCAUAUCGAUCGAUAAGGGUUGUCUCCUCAUUGAGUGGAAGUUGAAUGAAACAUCACUGAGUGGGCUCUGCAUGAGCAUGAAGCGCUACAGGUUUGUCUUCCACUGACCCAGCUUGUCACGCGCAUGCAAAUAACUACGCAGACCUUGAAAAAAAGAUCAACAGUGAAUCUUCAUACCCUUUUAUGGAAGAGAGUUUUAGAGCAUCUAUGGGCCCUAUAUUUUUUCUACCACUUUCUGUCUUGAGCAUGUUGGCCAUCGGGAAAAACUUGGUUAGCUGUGGUCUGUUUUUUCCAAUGGUUUCGGGACCCUUCAGCCAGAGGCUAACAAUAAUUACUGGGUUACCAAGAUCCAUGAUGCUGACAGAUUAAGGUACAAGCAUGCUAAAUAAAGCUGUGAUAAUGGUUUAUUUAAGCAAUGAUUCUUCAACUUAGGUGUAAAGGUAAAAAAAGGUCAGGAUUUUGGGAUGAAGAAAAGUGAUAUGGAGAUCCAUAUAUGCUUUUAGCGAUCCUCUUUUUAUCACACCGAUGGCGACUUUGGUGCUGGAGUUGACUAUGAUUAAUGCUCUUUUCGUCUGAAAAUAAAACUCUGUUAAGUAUCGUGGGUUUCAAUUCCUUCCGCAUGAUAUGUGAAAGAUUCGUGAGAGAAAACAAGAACCCUUUACUCUGGGUCGAAAAGACAAACUUUCAGAUGUGUAUCGUGUUCUGCUGUAUGUUUUUAGGUGCUGACUCCUUUUGUGCGAAGUAGGUUUUUCUCUAGCGGAAUCUCCCACACCUCCUCUAACUCAAAAUGGAUUUUGAGUGAGUAGGGAGACUUUUUAAUGUAUUAAUGUGUCAAUAAGAUUGUAAUAUUUGAGGUUAAUUGUA